UUGUGAGAGGCAGGAUAAUCCUCGCCUGCUUCUGCUUUGGGAGGGCAGAUUGGAACACGCUGAUUAGAACUCACCUGGAAUAGGAUCGCUGUCUCUGCAUAAUCAGGAUUUGCGGCACCCUGAUUGCUCCCAUCUGAU
ensembl:snoRNA U8 U8 small nucleolar RNA